GCAUUCCUUUGAGGGUCGUGGGCAGACGCCAUUUUGGCCCCAGCGGUGCUUCUAGGAAGUAGAGCGCCGGCUCGCAUGCCUGCCCGCCCACCAGCCUGCCGGGUACGGCCUUUUCUGCCGGGGCUUCCAGGUCAAAGCAUUCACCUUUGCCUCUGCCGCUUUCUUACGCUCCGCACCCGUUAAGUUCUCCGGUCGGGCGGGAGUCUCUGAACACUUAGCCGCGCCAUCCGGGGUCACACCGCCUGGAAGGAGGUGACGGGGGCGGCGCGGGGCGCGGACACUCCCCGCUGAGAGUCCGCCUGCCAUGGACUCGGAAUAUUACCGCGGCGACCAGUCAGAUGAUGGUGGUGCUACCCCAGUACAGGAUGAACGGGAUUCAGGGUCAGACGGUGAGGAUGAUGUAAAUGAGCAACACUCCGGAUCAGACACUGGAAGUGUAGAACGUCAUUCAGAGAAUGAAACUAGUGAUCGAGAAGAUGGCCUCCCCAAAGGACAUCAUGUGACAGAUUCUGAGAAUGAUGAGCCCUUAAAUCUUAAUGCUAGUGACUCUGAAAGUGAGGAGCUUCACAGGCAAAAGGACAGUGACUCUGAAUCUGAGGAACGUGCAGAGCCUCCUGCAAGCGAUUCUGAAAAUGAGGAUGUCAAUCAGCAUGGGAGCGACUCUGAGAGUGAAGAGACCAGGCAAUUACCUGGUAGUGACUCUGAAAAUGAGGAGCUUCUUAAUGGGCAUGCAAGUGACUCAGAAAACGAAGAUGUUGGGAAGCAUCCAGCCAGUGAUUCUGAGAUUGAGGAGCUCCAGAAGAGUCCUGCUACUGACUCUGAAACAGAAGAUGCUCUAAAACCUCAAAUCAGUGACUCUGAGAGUGAGGAACCCCCAAGGCACCAAGCCAGUGACUCCGAAAAUGAGGAGCCUCCCAAACCUCGAAUGAGUGAUUCUGAAAGUGAGGAGCUUCCUAAACCUCAGGUCAGUGAUUCAGAAAGCGAGGAACCCCCAAGGCACCAGGCCAGUGACUCUGAAAAUGAGGAGCUUCCCAAACCUCGUAUCAGUGACUCAGAAAAUGAGGACCCUCCGAGGCACCAGGCCAGUGACUCAGAAAAUGAAGAGCUUCCCAAACCCCGAAUCAGUGAUUCGGAAAGUGAGGAUCCCCCAAGGAACCAGGCCAGUGAUUCUGAAAAUGAGGAGCUACCCAAACCCCGAGUCAGUGACUCUGAGAGUGAGGGGCCUCAGAAGGGGCCUGCCAGUGACUCAGAAACUGAGGAUGCGUCCAGACACAAACAGAAGCCAGAGUCAGAUGAUGACAGCGACAGGGAGAAUAAGGGAGAGGAUACAGAAAUGCAGAAUGACUCCUUCCAUUCAGACAGCCAUAUGGACAGAAAAAAGUUUCACAGUUCUGAUAGUGAGGAGGAAGAACACAAAAAGCAAAAAAUGGACAGUGAUGAAGAUGAAAAAGAGGAUGAGGAGGAGAAAGUAGCGAAGAGAAAAGCUGCUGUGCUCUCUGAUAGUGAAGAUGAAGAGAAAGCAUCAGCAAAGAAGAGUCGUGUUGUCUCUGAUGCAGAUGACUCUGACAGUGAUGCUGUAUCAGACAAGUCAGGCAAAAGAGAGAAGACCAUAGCAUCUGACAGUGAGGAAGAAGCUGGGAAAGAAUUGUCUGAUAAGAAAAAUGAAGAGAAGGAUCUGUUUGGGAGUGACAGUGAGUCAGGCAAUGAGGAAGAAAAUCUUAUUGCAGACAUAUUUGGAGAAUCUGGUGAUGAAGAGGAAGAAGAAUUUACAGGUUUUAACCAAGAAGAUCUGGAAGAAGAAAAAGGUGAAACACAGGUAAAAGAAGCAGAAGAUUCAGAUUCUGAUGAUAACAUAAAGAGAGGAAAACAUAUGGACUUUCUGUCGGAUUUUGAGAUGAUGUUGCAGCGAAAAAAGAGCAUGAGUGGCAAGCGCAGACGGAACCGCGAUGGUGGCACCUUUAUUAGUGACGCAGACGAUGUCGUGAGUGCCAUGAUCGUCAAGAUGAAUGAAGCUGCUGAGGAAGACAGACAGUUGAACAAUCAAAAAAAGCCAGCACUGAAAAAAUUAACUUUACUGCCUACUGUAGUUAUGCACCUUAAGAAGCAAGACCUUAAAGAAACAUUCAUUGACAGCGGUGUGAUGUCUGCCAUCAAAGAAUGGCUCUCACCUCUACCAGAUAGGAGUUUGCCUGCACUCAAGAUCCGGGAGGAACUGCUGAAGAUCCUGCAAGAGCUGCCUAGUGUGAGCCAGGAGACCCUGAAGCAUAGUGGGAUUGGACGAGCAGUGAUGUAUCUCUAUAAACACCCCAAGGAAUCAAGGUCCAACAAGGACAUGGCAGGGAAAUUAAUCAAUGAGUGGUCUAGGCCUAUAUUUGGUCUUACCUCAAACUACAAAGGAAUGACAAGAGAAGAAAGGGAGCAGAGGGAUCUAGAACAGAUGCCUCAACGACGAAGAAUGAACAGCACUGGUGGUCAGACACCCAGAAGAGACCUGGAAAAGGUGCUGACAGGAGAGGAGAAGGCUCUUAGACCUGGAGAUCCUGGAUUCUGUGCCCGUGCAAGGGUCCCAAUGCCCUCAAACAAGGACUAUGUUGUCAGGCCCAAAUGGAAUGUGGAAAUGGAGUCAUCCAGGGUUUUGCUGUUACUGCUCAAUGUGAUCACACCUUGAAUAAGAAAUGGAAAGCCUUGGGAUGUUGAUAAAGCUAAUAUCCUGAGGAAGAACUUAAGUGGGUCCCAGCUGAGUAGGAGGUGGGAUUCAGCAGUACUGGUACAUAGUUAGGCCUAAUGUGCUGGAGUGGCCCAGGCAGAGGCCUACUUGCGUAGACUAAUGGGAGCCUCAAGAGAAAAUCUACCUUAAGAAAAAGACCAGUCUGACAGCAAGCCCAGCUUCCCAAGAAGAUAGAAGAUUGGAGGCAAGCUGCUGUCCAGGUAUGUCCUGAACCAGCCAACUUGAAGGUAAGUUUGCUCCCUGGGGAGAGAAGGGCUCUAGGUAUGAACUAAAAGCUGUGUCCAUAGACACUGUAACACUGGAGUUCAAAAAAUGUUGCUGUGGAACAGCCCCUCUCAUCUGAACCCAGACGGAAUGUUCUCACCUCCCAAAAGUAGUGUCUUGUAUUGCGGCACAGUGGUAGCUUUCUGGAUCCACAGGCAAGGCCCUGUGGAGUCUCAGAAUAAUGAUAAAUCCUCUGGAUGACGUAGGAGCUGGUGAGGUGAGUGGAGCGCCCUGCUAUGGUGUGUCCGUAGGACCACUGGAGCCUGAUGCUGCCAAAGCACAACCUGACCAGCCCCAGCAACUGGUUUAGGAUCAUACAACCAUGGACAUGCCCCUAGGAUUCCUGGAAAUACUAAGGGGAAAAGGAUUUUCCUGGAGCUGGGACAUUCUACAUUUGCACAGGUGAGAACUCAAACCAUUGAGAUUUAGAUAUUAAUGUAAAACAACUUCAUCUGUACUCAUUAAGACUGAGUAAGGCUAGGACUUUUCCCUUCUGCUGCAUUUUAACAUAGGUAGGAGGACAGGAUUUUCAAGAUGCCCAAGAAAGUAAUCAAGCAAUAAUCAUGAGCAUCUUCAUGAAGGAAUGGUGGAGCCCCACAUGACCCACGAUCUGCACCCCACAGGACCCCCGCCCCACUGCUUCUCUGCCCUCAUUUCGUAGCACUCCAGCCCGGGCCGCCGCUGGCUGGCCUUCCGUGCAGCACGCUGUCCCCUCAGGGCCUUUACACUUGGCUUCUCCCUUGAUCUGGGUUGUGUUCUUCCCUAUCUUCCCACUGUCUAAUGUCCAUGCGCCUUCUCCCUCACUUUCUUCAGCUCUCUGUUCAGACGUCACCUUUUCUGUGAGGCCUUCUCUGAGCUAACAUAAACAGCAACAAGUGAACACUGAGCUCUACUAAGUGAUGGAUACUACUGAAUAGCAGAGAACCAAAAAUGAACAAGAUAGCCUCUGCCCUUAAUGAGGUCACAGUGUGAGGAGGGAGUCAGAAUGGUGCCUCCUGACAGCUGGAGGAGAUUGGGGAAAGCUUCGUGGAGGAGGUGCUGUCGAGUUGACUCAUGAAGGGGUUGAAGAAGCAGGCUCAGAAAGGACCAAGGUUUGGAGCUACCACUGGAGGAGCUAAGAUUCAGACCUGGUUCUUCCUGGUUUCACAUCUCAUGCUUUAACCAUGUGCUGGGCAGACAAAAAAGGCAGACACUGUGAGCAGAAGAAAUGAUCCAUCUCAAAAAUGGAAACUUCACGGUGUGUAUUCAGGGAACCGCAGGAAUUCCAGGCAAGAGAUGAGGCAGGAUUCUACCUCACUCAGAAGGUGAGAUACAGGCCACAGGUAUUUCAUACCUCUGCCUCCUGAUUCCUUCUUCCUUCCAGGAUAGCUUACUUUUGUUACCGUAUCGGGUGUCUGAAUAUGCUUUGAUCUGAAGAAAGAAUUCUAUGAUUGAAGCAAGGGAUGGACCAUGUGGUUGUAGUAGCCCAGAUGGGAGGGGGGUCCUUGAGUAGGACAGUAACUGGAGUAACUGGGAAAACGAAGGGGAGACGACAGAUAGGGAGGACUUUUAGAGAUAGGACUGCUAGGACUUGGUCGCCAUUGGCUGUUAGAGAGGCAGGAAGCUAGGCCUGGGUGAGUGGUGGAGCAACAGUGCCCAUAACAGAACACUGUGUAUGAGAACGUUCUGUGGGAGAUGAAAAGUCAGGCAGGUUUGGAGCCCCUGUGGCUCGUCGAGCCAGGGAGAUGCCCCAUCCUGAUUGGGAUGUGUAAGGCUGGAGCUCCAGGUAGAGUCAUGGAGCUAACAAACUUCAGCUUCUUUCAAGUUAUUGCCCAGGAAGAGAGUCCAGAGAAAGACCAGCAGUGAGCUUGGGAGCAGCAGCUGUGGACACUGGGAAUCUCCUCAGCACUGACGGCUCUGGACCAGAACUACAUUGCUUCAGAUCCCUUGUGAAGUCAUAAUUGGACAAACAUAUUAUCUAAACCAUUCAGGGAAUUUUUUGAAAUUUCUUAAUUAAAGGAAGUUAUCUGGGCAAA